rnacentral:rRNA from 1 species
UGGGGAAUUUUGGACAAUGGGGGCAACCCUGAUCCAGCCAUCCCGCGUGUGCGAUGAAGGCCUUCGGGUUGUAAAGCACUUUUGGCAGGGAAGAAACAGCCUGGGAUAAUACCCGGGCGACUGACGGUACCUGCAGAAUAAGCACCGGCUAACUACGUGCCAGCAGCCGCGGUAAUACGUAGGGUGCAAGCGUUAAUCGGAAUUACUGGGCGUAAAGCGUGCGCAAGGCCGGGUUCGGAAAGAAAGGUGUGAAAUCCCAGGGCUUAACUUGGAACUGCACUUUUAACUACCGAGCUAGAGUACGUCAGAGGGGGGUAGAAUUCCACGUGUAGCAGUGAAAUGCGUAGACGAUGUGGAGGAAUACCGAUGGCGAAGGCAGCCCCCCUGGGAUGAUACUGACGCUCAUGCACGAAAGCGUGGGGAGCAAACAGGAUUAGAUA